UAUACGACUCUCGGCAACGGAUAUCUCGGCUCUCGCAUCGAUGAAGAACGUAGCGAAAUGCGAUACUUGGUGUGAAUUGCAUAAUCCCGGGAACCAUCGAGUCUUUGAACGCAAGUUGCGCCCGAGGCCUUUCGGUUGAGGGCACGCCUGCCUGGGCGUCACGC
rnacentral:rRNA from 1 species